rnacentral:rRNA from 1 species
ACUGAAUAGAUACCCUGGUAGUCCACGCCGUAAACGAUGGGCACUAGAUGCUUGGGGGAGCGACCCCUGAGUGUCGUCGCUAACGCAGUAAGUGCCCCGCCUGGGGAGUACGGCCGCAAGGCUGAAACUCAAAGGAAUUGACAGGGGCCCGCACAAGCGGUGGAGCAUGUGGUUUAAUUCGACGCAACGCGAAGAACCUUACCUAGGCUUGACAUAGCCGAGAAACCUUCUGGAAACAGGAGGCCCUCUUCGGAGUUCGGUUACAGGUGCUGCAUGGCUGUCGUCAGCUCGUGUCGUGAGAUGUUGGGUUAAGUCCCGCAACGAGCGCAACCCCCGUUCUCAGUUGCCAGCGGGUAAAGCCGGGGACUCUGGGAAGACUGCCGAUGCCAAAUCGGAGGAAGGUGGGGACGACGUCAAGUCAUCAUGGUCCUUACGUCUAGGGCUACACACGUGCUACAAUGGCCGGUACAGCGGGUCGCAAAUGCGCAAGCAUGAGCCAAUCCCC